rnacentral:rRNA from 1 species
CCUACGGGAGGCAGCAGUGGGGAAUAUUGGGCAAUGGGCGCAAGCCUGACCCAGCAACGCCGCGUGAAGGAAGAAGGCUUUCGGGUUGUAAACUUCUUUUAUCAGGGACGAAACAAAUGACGGUACCUGAUGAAUAAGCCACGGCUAACUACGUGCCACCAGCCGCGGUAAUACGUAGGUGGCAAGCAGUAUCCGGAUUUACUGGGUGUAAAGGGCUUGUAGGGCGGCCUGCAAGUCCGAUGUGAAAUUCGAGGGCUCAACCCUGUAUCUGCAUUUGAAACUGUUGGUCUUGAGUGCUGGAGAGGCAAUCGGAAUGCCGUGUGUAGCGGUGAAAUGCGUAGAUAUACGGAGGAACACCAGUUGCGAAGGCGGAUUGCUGGACAGUAACUGACGCUGAGGCGCGAAAGCGUGGGGAGCAAACAGGAUUAGAUACCCUUGUAGUC